rnacentral:rRNA from 1 species
GACGAACGCUGGCGGCGUGCUUAACACAUGCAAGUCGAACGGAAAGGCCCCUUUGGGGGUACUCGAGUGGCGCACGGGUGAGUAACACGUGAGUAACCUGCCCUUGACUUCGGGAUAACUUCAGGAAACUGGGGCUAAUACCGGAUAGGAAUCCUUGCUGCAUGGUGGGGGUUGGAAAGCUUCGGCGGUUUUGGAUGGACUCGCGGCUUAUCAGCUUGUUGGUGGGGUAGUGGCUUACCAAGGCUUUGACGGGUAGCCGGCCUGAGAGGGCGACCGGCCACAUUGGGACUGAGAUACGGCCCAGACUCCUACGGGAGGCAGCAGUGGGGAAUAUUGCACAAUGGGCGGAAGCCUGAUGCAGCAACGCCGCGUGCGGGAUGACGGCCUUCGGGUUGUAAACCGCUUUCACCAGGGGCGAAGCUUGUGGUGACGGUACCUGCAGAAGAAGCACCGGCUAACUACGUG